UUAAAGGAAUUGACGGAAGGGCACCACCAGCCGUGGAGCCUGCGGCUUAAUUUGACUCAACACGGGAAAUCUUACCAGGCCAGGACACUGGAAUGAUUGACAGAUUGAGAGCUCUUUCUUGAUUCGGUGGGUGGUGGUGCAUGGCCGUUCAUAGUUGGUGGGUUGACUUGUCUGCUUAAUUGCGAUAACGAACGAGACCCUAGCCUGCUAACUAGUCGAUUCCGCCAUCCCCUGCGCAGGCGGCGACUCCAAAUCUUCUUAGAGGGACGGGCGGGUUCUACCCGCACGAAACUGGGCAAUAACAGGUCUGUGAUGCCCUUAGAUGUUCUGGGCAGCACGCGCGCUACACUGAAGGGAUCAACGAGUGUGUUCCUAGCCCGACAGGGCCGGGUAACCCGCUGAAACCCCUUCGUGAUUGGGAUCGGGGCUUGCAAUUGUUCCCCGUGAACGAGGAAUGCCUAGUAAGCGGAAGUCAUAAGCUUCCGUUGAUUAAGUCCCUGCCCUUUGUCCACACCGCCCGUCGCUACUACCGAUUGAAUAUUUUAGUGAGGUCUUCGGACCGCCUUCCGGAGCCCCUCGCGGGCCUGUUCGGCGGGAAGAUGACCGAACUUGAAUAUUUAGAGGAAGUAAAAGUCGUAACAAGGUUACC
rnacentral:rRNA from 2 species